GGGUUGUGAGGUUAAGCGACUAAGCGUACACGGUGGAUGCCCUGGCAGUCAGAGGCGAUGAAGGACGUGCUAAUCUGCGAAAAGCGUCGGUAAGGUGAUAUGAACCGUUAUAGCCGGCGAUGUCCGAAUGGGGAAACCCAGUGCAAUUCGUUGCACUAUCGUUAACUGAAUACAUAGGUUAACGAGGCGAACCGGGGGAACUGAAACAUCUAAGUACCCCGAGGAAAAGAAAUCAACCGAGAUUCCCCCAGUAGCGGCGAGCGAACGGGGAGCAGCCCGGAGUCUGAAUCAGCUUGUGUGUUAGUGGAAGCGUCUGGAAAGUCGCAGGGUACAGGGUGAUACUCCCGUACACUAAAACGCACAGGUUGUGAACUCGAAGAGUAGGGCGGGACACGUGGUAUCCUGUCUGAAUAUGGGGGGACCAUCCUCCAAGGCUAAAUACUCCUGACUGACCGAUAGUGAACCAGUACCGUGAGGGAAAGGCGAAAAGAACCCCGGCGAGGGGAGUGAAAAAGAACCUGAAACCGUGUACGUACAAGCAGUAGGAGCCCACUAGUUGGGUGACUGCGUACCUUUUGUAUAAUGGGUCAGCGACUUAUAUUCUGUAGCAAGGUUAACCGUAUAGGGGAGCCGCAGGGAAACCGAGUCUUAACUGGGCGUUAAGUUGCAGGGUAUAGACCCGAAACCCGGUGAUCUAGCCAUGGGCAGGUUGAAGGUUGGGUAACACUAACUGGAGGACCGAACCGACUAAUGUUGAAAAAUUAGCGGAUGACUUGUGGCUGGGGGUGAAAGGCCAAUCAAACCGGGAGAUAGCUGGUUCUCCCCGAAAGCUAUUUAGGUAGCGCCUCGUGAACUCAUCUUCGGGGGUAGAGCACUGUUUCGGCUAGGGGGUCAUCCCGACUUACCAACCCGAUGCAAACUACGAAUACCGAAGAAUGUUAUCACGGGAGACACACGGCGGGUGCUAACGUCCGUCGUGAAGAGGGAAACAACCCAGACCGCCAGCUAAGGUCCCAAAGUCAUGGUUAAGUGGGAAACGAUGUGGGAAGGCCCAGACAGCCAGGAUGUUGGCUUAGAAGCAGCCAUCAUUUAAAGAAAGCGUAAUAGCUCACUGGUCGAGUCGGCCUGCGCGGAAGAUGUAACGGGGCUAAACCAUGCACCGAAGCUGCGGCAGCGACACUAUGUGUUGUUGGGUAGGGGAGCGUUCUGUAAGCCGUUGAAGGUGGCCUGUGAGGGUUGCUGGAGGUAUCAGAAGUGCGAAUGCUGACAUAAGUAACGAUAAUGCGGGUGAAAAACCCGCACGCCGGAAGACCAAGGGUUCCUGUCCAACGUUAAUCGGGGCAGGGUGAGUCGACCCCUAAGGCGAGGCCGAAAGGCGUAGUCGAUGGGAAACAGGUUAAUAUUCCUGUACUUGGUGUUACUGCGAAGGGGGGACGGAGAAGGCUAUGUUGGCCGGGCGACGGUUGUCCCGGUUUAAGCGUGUAGGUGUGUGUUCCAGGUAAAUCCGGUUCACUUUAACACUGAGGCGUGAUGACGAGGCACUACGGUGCUGAAGUGACAAAUGCCCUGCUUCCAGGAAAAGCCUCUAAGCAUCAGGUAACAUCAAAUCGUACCCCAAACCGACACAGGUGGUCAGGUAGAGAAUACCAAGGCGCUUGAGAGAACUCGGGUGAAGGAACUAGGCAAAAUGGUGCCGUAACUUCGGGAGAAGGCACGCUGAUGGUAGGUGAAGUGACUUGCUCAUGGAGCUGAAAUCAGUCGAAGAUACCAGCUGGCUGCAACUGUUUAUUAAAAACACAGCACUGUGCAAACACGAAAGUGGACGUAUACGGUGUGACGCCUGCCCGGUGCCGGAAGGUUAAUUGAUGGGGUUAUCCGUAAGGAGAAGCUCUUGAUCGAAGCCCCGGUAAACGGCGGCCGUAACUAUAACGGUCCUAAGGUAGCGAAAUUCCUUGUCGGGUAAGUUCCGACCUGCACGAAUGGCGUAAUGAUGGCCAGGCUGUCUCCACCCGAGACUCAGUGAAAUUGAACUCGCUGUGAAGAUGCAGUGUACCCGCGGCAAGACGGAAAGACCCCGUGAACCUUUACUAUAGCUUGACACUGAACACUGGUCCUUGAUGUGUAGGAUAGGUGGGAGGCUUUGAAGUGUGGACGCCAGUCUGCAUGGAGCCAUCCUUGAAAUACCACCCUUUAAUGGCUGGUGUUCUAACGUGGGCCCCUAAUCGGGGUUGCGGACAGUGUCUGGUGGGUAGUUUGACUGGGGCGGUCUCCUCCUAAAGAGUAACGGAGGAGCACGAAGGUCAGCUAAUCCUGGUCGGACAUCAGGAGGUUAGUGCAAUGGCAUAAGCUGGCUUGACUGCGAGCGUGACGGCGCGAGCAGGUGCGAAAGCAGGUCAUAGUGAUCCGGUGGUUCUGAAUGGAAGGGCCAUCGCUCAACGGAUAAAAGGUACUCCGGGGAUAACAGGCUGAUACCGCCCAAGAGUUCAUAUCGACGGCGGUGUUUGGCACCUCGAUGUCGGCUCAUCACAUCCUGGGGCUGAAGUAGGUCCCAAGGGUAUGGCUGUUCGCCAUUUAAAGUGGUACGCGAGCUGGGUUUAGAACGUCGUGAGACAGUUCGGUCCCUAUCUGCCGUGGGCGCUGGAGAAUUGAGGGGGGCUGCUCCUAGUACGAGAGGACCGGAGUGGACGCAUCACUGGUGUUCGGGUUGUCAUGCCAAUGGCAUUGCCCGGUAGCUAAAUGCGGAAGAGAUAAGUGCUGAAAGCAUCUAAGCACGAAACUUGCCCCGAGAUGAGUUCUCCCUGACCCUUUAAGGGUCCUGAAGGAACGUUGAAGACGACGACGUUGAUAGGCCGGGUGUGUAAGCGCAGCGAUGCGUUGAGCUAACCGGUACUAAUGAACCGUGAGGCUUAACCUUACAACGCCGAAG
rnacentral:rRNA from 2 species